CGGACACAGAUCUGGGAGUCCCAGGUUCAAAUCUCAACUCUGACAUGGAGGCUUGUUGGGUGACCUUAGACCAGUCACAGAUUCUCAGACUAACCUGCCUCACAAGACUGCUGUGAGGAUAAAAUGGAGGGAAAUGAUCCAUGAAAUGCAUCUCUCUGUUGUAGAACCACGGAUAGACAAAACACAGGAGCAAGCCAGGAAACCAGCAUGAUGAAUCCUAAGUUAAUCCCAAUUGAUUUCCUCGUGUAGAUGGAGCUUCCAAAUGGCAGCUGCAGCCAUCAAGUGGGAACCCAGCAAUAAAGAGAGCUGUUGUUGGAGCUGCCAGAAUCUCCUGUGUGUUUCCUACAGAACAGGACUGAAGAGCAAUCUGAAGCAGGACAAAUCAACUCUCCCCUGCACUUCAUACCUCAGAGGAUGGGGAGCCAUGCCUUGAAGAGCCAACUGUCUUUUUUCUUGAAUCUAAUCAAUGCUCUUUUGAUCCAAGAGAAAUUUGAAGAGAGGAGAGGCAGGAAGGGGGGAUCUGCAGAAUUUCACUCUGG